UACGUAGGGUGCAAGCGUUGUCCGGAAUUAUUGGGCGUAAAGAGCUCGUAGGCGGUCUGUCGCGUCGAAUGUGAAAACCCGGGGCUCAACCCCGGGCCUGCAUUCGAUACGGGCAGACUAGAGUUCGGUAGGGGAGUCUGGAAUUCCUGGUGUAGCGGUGAAAUGCGCAGAUAUCAGGAGGAACACCGGUGGCGAAGGCGGGACUCUAGGCCGAUACUGACGCUGAGGAGCGAAAGCGUGGGGAGCGAACAGG
rnacentral:rRNA from 1 species